UUAAAAACAAAAGAGAUUAAAGAAUAGAAAUUAUAGAAAAAUUAAAUCUUAAUCUAAAUUCUAAGAAAAAAUUCAUUAAGAAAAAGAACUGAAACAUCUUAGUAAAAAAAUGAAAAAUAUAUUUGAUAGUAUUGGCAAAAGAAAUCAAACGAUAUAAAAAUAAAAAUUGAUUUACACAAUAAAAAUCUUUAUUCUACUUUUAAUUAUAGUACUGUGAAGGAAAAAGAACAAUAAUCACUUACAAAAAUGACAAACAUUUACCUUUUGUAUAAUGGAUUUACAAGAAAAAAAACUAGCAAGCUUUUAGGCAAAGAAAAGUAAAAGAGUUAGUCAUACCCGAAACCAAACGAUCUAAUUGUGAAUAUUUUCAUGAAAGAAUUAAUAAAUGUAGAAAAAUUUUUAAAAAAUUUGCAAUUAGCAGCGAAAAACUAAUCGAGUUUGGAUAUAGCUGGUUCUCUACGAAAAUUAUUUAAGUAAUACUUUUAUUUCUAAAAUGACAAACAUAUAGCUAUAAUGUUAUAUGUUAAAAAGGAAAAAACCUUAAUUAGAAGAUAAAACGCCCAAUUUAAAACACUACUGUUUGGAAACUAUUAUAACAACAUAUAAAUAGGCUUAGAAACAGCCAAAUUUAAAAGAUAACGUAACAGUUCAUUUGAUAAAAGGUUAACCAAAAAAAUAAAGCGUAUUUAAAGUUUAUUCUCUAAUAAAAAUAAGUAGUAGAGUAUUUUAUUAUUAAAAAUGAAAAUAAAUAAAAGAAAUAAUGUAAAUAUAAGUAAAAAUUAUUAUUCCUAAUAAUUCUUAUUUUAAUAAAUGAAUAAGGUUAAACAAUCCCUCAACAAAAAAGGGGAAAUUUUGAAAAAAAACAAGAAAAAUCAAGAACUUAAAUUGUAUUUAACUAAAUCAAGAAGGAAUAAAUAAAUAAUAAAACUUUUUUUAAGGAACUCGGCAAAUUAAGAAUCGACUGUUUACCAAAAACAUAGCCCUUGUAAAAAUCAAAGGUGUAACCUGCCCAAUGAUCUUAAACUUAAAAAAUAUGACCAUUUUUAAAUAGAUUUAAAGGACGCAGUAUCCUGACUGUGAUAAUGUAGCAUAAUCAUUCGCCAUUUAAUUGAUGGAUAGUAUGAAUGGUUGAACGAAUUCUUCACUGUCUUAAGAAAAGAAAUAAUGAAAUUUAAAUAAUAGUAAAGAUGCUAUUUAAAAUUGUAAGACGAAAAGACCCUAUAGAGCUUAACUAUAAGUUCUUUUUACCCURAAGAAUAUAAUUCUAUAAAUAAAGAACUUGGUAGUUUAGUUGGGGCGACUAUCUUCUAAUAUUAACGAAGACAAGCAAAAUUAAUAUAUAUAAUUUAUUGUAUAACCUAUAAGUUUAACAAUUACUAAAGUAGGCAUAAUGACCCGUUUUCAUUUAGUAAUUAAAGAAAACGAUCAAUAAAUAAAAGCUACCUUAGGGAUAACAGGAUAAUUUUGUUUUAGAGAUCACAUCGAAAACAAAGUUUGUCACCUCUAUGUUGAAUUAAGAUAUCCUAGUAAUGCAGAAGUUACUAAAGGUAGGUCUGUUCGACCUUUAAAAUCUUACAUGAUUUGAGUUCAUUCCGUCGCAAGACAGGAAGGUUUCUAUCUACAAUUAAUAAAAACAAAAGRGACCUUUAGUACGAAAGGACCAAGGUUACUCAAAACAAAUUUAAAAUGUUUAAGAAAAAAAAAAUGAAAGCUUCUAACAUUAGAAUGAAUUUUUAA
rnacentral:rRNA from 1 species